rnacentral:rRNA from 1 species
AUUGAACGCUGGCGGCAUGCCUUACACAUGCAAGUCGAACGGCAGCACGGGAGCAAUCCUGGUGGCGAGUGGCGAACGGGUGAGUAAUAUAUCGGAACGUGCCCAGUCGUGGGGGAUAACGCAGCGAAAGCUGUGCUAAUACCGCAUACGAUCUAAGGAUGAAAGCGGGGGAUCGCAAGACCUCGCGCGAUUGGAGCGGCCGAUAUCAGAUUAGCUAGUUGGUGGGGUAAAGGCCCACCAAGGCGACGAUCUGUAGCUGGUCUGAGAGGACGACCAGCCACACUGGAACUGAGACACGGACCAGACUCCUACGGGAGGAAGCAGUGGGGAAUUUUGGACAAUGGGCGCAAGCCUGAUCCAGCAAUGCCGCGUGCAGGAUGAAGGCCUUCGGGUUGUAAACUGCUUUUGUACGGAACGAAACGGCCCUUUCUAAUACAGGGGGCUAAUGACGGUACCGUAAGAAUAAGCACCGGCUAACUACGUGCCAGCAGCCGCCGUAA